ensembl:lncRNA
CAGUUCCAACUCACUGAGCACACCUAUUUUUCUAUAAAUUAAAAGUACAGAGCAGCAGGGUUUUACUACAUUAGAUCACUACGGAGACAUCCAUUGAGAGCAAUGAACUGAAAGCCUAGAAACUGAAUUUUAAUGCUGGCAUUGCUGUGUUGUGGUUCACCGGUGAUGUGUCGUCGUCRUGCUGUAGCACAGACCUGAUCGCUACCUCGCCGUGGUGUCAAAGCUGCUUGUAAAGCACCGGGAGGAAGAAAGGCAUCACAGGUACAAAUGGUAAAAAUAUUUCAAAAGCCACUUUUAUAAGAAGUUACAAAAGGCCUAGCUGUAAACACUCCGUUAAGAUCCCAUGAAACAGAGUUAUAGCCAGAAAUUAAUCUCACAAUUUAAUAACUGUCCCUUGAGAGGGCAUGGUAAUUCGUAACAGCAUCUCUUGUAAAGCUCGCUUGCUUCCAAGCCUGUGGUAAAUAAUUCGUGUAGCCUCCUCAAGUUCUACCAUGGCCACGGAGAUCUGCAGCAAUUUGUCUCCUUCCUGAAAAAUAUAAUAUUUGGAUGGAUUUUGUUCUUCUUGCCCCAGGAUCUCAAAGCCSUUUGUGGGUGGCAAUUACCCGGGUGAGCUCAUGCACGAUGUUCGCAGAAGGUGCCGUGCUGAGCUGGAGUAAUAAACCGGCAGCCUUCUGA